ACGGAAAAUACUGCUGCUAAUUAGGAAUAGCUCUCAGCACAUUUCCAGGGGUGUUGCUGUUCUCCAGCGCAUUGUGACCGCCAGGGGACACGUGGGGCAGAGGGCCCCCCACCCCGGGCCCUGAGAGGUGGGGUUGUUCUGUGAGGUCAGGGCGCCUCAGCCAGUGUGUCUCAUGCCAUGACUUCAUAGAGCAAAACGUCCACAGGGGAAUGGUUGGAAUCUCUCAUCCAUAUCUGCACGCUCUGGAUGGGUAUUUCCUGUGUCUUCUGCUGUACCUAGUCUCCAGAUACUUAUCAGUGCCUCUGUGUCUAAACUUAGCCUGAGCCCUCUGGCUGGUUUUCAUAAGCUUGAAAGGAAGCCAAUCUCCUUAGAAAAAGAUUUCUUUUUUCUUGGGGAGUUUAUGGCUCAAGGCAUCAGUGACAGGAACUGGAGAUGUUUUGUGUGCUGCACCGAAGGCUGAACAUACCUUAGUCUGGAACUUAAGAGAACCGUGUGGUGAACCGAACACUGGAAGCUGGCUACGUGUGGCCUGAGCCGUGACACUCAGCACGGUGGCUAAUAUCUCACAUGAGCACUAAGUUACGGUUUGUCAGAGAACUCGUGAAUACUGCAAAUCUGAAUGCCGUCUGACUCUAAGAAAAUGCUUAACAGCUGCCCUGCGUACAGUGACUGCCCUUGUAAACUGCCUUCCAUACCCAUGUGUGAGCAGCCCACGGAGGGAGCCAGCACGGAGGGGAACCAGCGGAGGCUGGAGACUGCUGACCGCCUAAAGCAAGAACAGCAAUGUUUUAGAAGAAAAACACUUCUGUGGUCUUUGCUCCGAAGCGUAGAAUUGAAACAUGCAAACUCAAUCAGAAUCCAUUUCCCUGAGGAGAAAAUUCUCCAGCUCGGGAGGCGACUACCCUGUGGGAAGCCGUAAUUUCCAGGGAGGCACUCGUCCUCCUCAGCGACACUCGAGGGAAGAAGAUGUUAGUGGAAGGCAGAACCCCAGGCUGCUGGGGCAUGUGGUUCCGCAAGGAAAACUGGGCAAGGUGGCACUCCUCUGGGUGGACGUGCCAUCUGCCAGCCGCAUUUGUGUUACCCUCUGGCAACGGCAACAGUGCCAAUGACAUGGGACACGCCUGUCACGAGCCACCCAAACUCUGCCCCAUUCUGCCUUUGCCCUGAACGCACAAGCUGAAGGUGCUCCAAUCAAGAGCAGAAAUGAAGGCUCGAUGCAUGAAAUAACUGUUUGAAGUCCAGACUGAUUCUCAGCAGGGUGGUCUUUCGCUUGACGAUGAAAUGGGGGCCCACGGUGUGCGCUACCACAGCAACAGCUGCUUGGUCAAGAGCCUUAGGCUCCGGUUACACCCCCAGCAUCCGGUCAUGGUCCGUAUGACGAUGGAAAACCCCAGGGCCACAGCAGAAAGCACCCAGAACAUGUUGAGUCUGCCAGGUAGGUCCCUGCAGGUUGAGGGCUGGCAUCUGCCACAGCUGAUCGCCCGUCUGUGGCUCAGUCUUCACACUCGUAGAGGACACAGCAGCCCUGAAUCACCUUUGUCACCUGAAUCCAACAUUAACAUGGUAAGUACUCCUCUGCACAUGCAGGUAACAAUAGAAACAAUUAUGUGAGCACAUAAAUGUGCUUUAUUGGGGAAAAGUCUCACUUUUCAAAAUAAUGUAAUGUCUGUUUAUUUUUGUGUUAAUACAUAAGCACAGUCAACAGAAAAAGUCAAAUGUAGGGCUCAUACAGAAACACAGCUCUCCUCUGAACCGUUUCUGCCUGUUCUGGUGAAAGACUUCCCAGAAGUAAUGACCUUCAAUUGUAAUAUUUAUCUCAAUAUUUGAAGUCAGAUGUCUCAAUGUUAUUUCUCACGAUAUUCUUACGAUGAGUCCUGGUGUGAUGGCUUGCUCCCUUCGUUGUCUUGAAAACCCAGUGGAUGCUUUCAUUGUGGGAAGUCCAGUCCUUAACUUCUGGACGUUUGUUUCAUUUUAGUCCUUUGAUGCAUAACUUCUCUGUUUUCUAUUUUCGAGCUCCUAUUAGUAGAAUGUCGUAGCUUCUGAAAAGAGCCUUUUAUUCAUUGCUUCGGGCUCCUGUGACCCGUCACUGUGACCGGGAGCCCUGAACGACAGAGAUCCACCUCUCACGGCACCAGAGGCUCCGAGGCCCAGCCCGGGGCGCUGUCUGGUGUGAACCGUCUCUGGGUCUGCCGAGGGAGGUCUUCUCACGGCAGAGAGUGGAGUGCUCGCCCACGUCCACACUGCCACCUGGGCGCUGACCCACCGCGAGGACCGGCAGGCCCCCAAACAUCAACGUGCCGGCGAUAGGGUUCCAACAUGUGAAUUUUGAGGGGACACAAACCGGUAGUCAACGCAGGAACCUGAACAUCAUGUGUUGUUUUGUUUGUUUUCACUAAUAUUCUAAGUCCUUGUUCUUUUGUCUACUUUCUGAGAAAUUUCUUCAAUUUUUGCUGCCACACUUCUACUCACUCCGACUUCUGCCGUCUUCUGUGUUUCAGCUCUCAGAGGCUUUCUCUAAGUACACUUUUAGAACAUCACUUUUCCCCUUCUGAAUGCAACGCGUUCUCUUUUCGCUUUGAGGGUCGUCAUUUUGUUUCGUUUUGUUUUGAAGCUUCUUCUGACUUGCCGGUUCUGGAAAAACGCCAGCAACACUGGCAGAGUCUUGGAGUCUCUCCUGACCCCACGUCAGAGCAGACAGUCCUUCCGACAAAAGCCAAGCGGCAACGUGUCCUGCGGGCCGCGAACCUGGCAGGCCAGCGGGGCCCGGCCGCGGUGAGCGGGGCUACCCUUCACAGCUCUGUCUCCUCCGCGUUUAUCACCCUCCUUUCCUCGUGUGCGUUGUUCUUUCCUUCCAUCUCUACCUUCUGGGUGUCGUAGAACAGUGACAGGGGCCGGAUCAUUAGGCGAGCUACCCCAGAUCCUCUUGAGGCCUUCCCUUUUUUUCAGAGUGACCCUCACCCUCCCGCCUACAUGGUCACCAGCUCCGCCUCAGUUACCCAAACUGCUCGGGGAAGAGAACCAGCGUGAAAAAGUCAAGCAAAUCACGUAACGUAAUGAAGCCGGGAAGGGUUGAGGGCAGGAUUUGAACCCCAGUCUGUGCAGUGCCAAACCCUGUGUUCUUUCCAUUGUGCCACAACGGGACAUUAUUUUGUAUUUAAUUUGUCCCAAUUAUGAAGAGAAGAGUCGAACCUGAACACGCGCAGUCAACCCAGUUGGUGGCUCCUUCAGAACGAACCAUUUCACUACAGACUGUGGCAGAAGGUCCAAAGCCACGGGAGUUCUGGGUUCUCCGACACCCAGGAGGAACCUUCACACAACAGUCCCCCCCACGGCCUGUGCUGAAGAAAACAGCCCCACGUGUUUGUUCCUUCACUAUUUUGAACAAAGUCAAAAAAGCUGAGAACCUUAGGAAUAACAUUUUAACGUGCAGUUUGUGUUGUCCCUGUUAAGUUUGCGUUCUGUGUCUGCAAAGCAGGGCUCAUCAGAUUACUAAUUUGUAUGUGAAACUGGUCAUUUUUCCCCAGGUACUUCGUCUUGAUUCUGAACAGUUGCCAUCUAUCGUCCCGGGUCACUGGGUGCAGCUGGAAUUGCCCGGUUUGGAGCACGUACACUCUACUCUCUGUACUGACUGUGUCCAGCCGUUCACGAGCCAGAGCCGCCUGGGAACCAACCUGGCACAGGACGGGGCUCCCUGGGAGCCUGCGGUGCAGGCGGCUUAGGUUACAUCCAGGCUGAGCCUGCAGGGGCCAGAGGUGGGAAACUCUAGGUACAGAGACGUGGCAGGGAGAGAAGACAUGGAGGAACUUCUGGCAAGAAGAAUAAUGUUACCUGCCCACCUCACAGCCGCCCUUCUUCCCUGUUAAGUGUAGCCUACAUUACGGGGCCCAGCCAUCUGCUCAGCUAAAAACCAUUCCCCAGCCUCCCUUGUAUCCAAGGUGGCUAUUUUGUUAGUCUCUGGUCAGCGAGACCUCAGAUGGAAGAAUUUGGGAGGGAGACCAGAAAGGCUUCUUGAAGGGGUGACGGGAAGCUAAACAAAGCUGUUUGCCACCCUCCUCCCUUCUCCCUCCUCCCUCCUCCCUCCUGACUGGAGGCAGAUGCAAUGGCUGGGGUUAGCAGCCACCUUGUGAGCUGGAGGAUAGAAUCCGAAGAACCGGAGAAGCUAAACACAGCCUGGGUCCCGGCCAGCAGCCCAUGACUGCCCUCUUCUGGCUCUGCCCCACGAGGGAGUAAUCUUGGUGCCUCAGUCCCUGUUGGUUUGGCUCUUCUGCUGUUACAGGGGAACCUGCAGUAAAAGUGAUACUUUGUAAAGGGCAGUGGGUAUCUGAGUAGCAAGGCACCCAUUAUGCUGUGAAAAUCGAUACUAGAAAGAGGGAAUCUUGUAGGGGCCAUCCUCAAUGCUUCUCAAAGAACCGAGUUUGGGUCCUCUAGUGGCUGCAGACACUGGAGCCACAGCCCUGGUGUGGGUGGUGGUGCCUGGGGCCAGCAGACGGUGGCCGAGGCAGCAGGAUGGGUGGGGACGGAAACAGGACUGAGGUCCAGGGAACAGAUGCCCACCCAAGCAUCCGUCAGGCCCUCGGCACACCGGCCAGCUCCAGGAGGGCUGUGUUUUCUUUCCCACAAAAGAGCGAACACAGAUGUUUUCCAGCUGUUGAGGAACAUUGUCAGAGUAAUAGUAACAUAUGUUGGGUUCAAACAUAUGAAAUUGCUGAUAUUUGAUUUUUUCAUGCCCAAAGUAUGAAUUUCAUAAUAUCCAACUCUGUGUUUCUGACAUUAUUUUAGUGUUUGUAAUGUUAAAUAAAAUUAGUUUGCUCUUGC